rnacentral:rRNA from 1 species
GACGUAGGGCGCAAGCGUUGUCCGGAUUUAUUGGGCGUAAAGAGCUCGUAGGCGGCCUGUCGCGUCGACCGUGAAAACCCGCAGCUCAACUGCGGGCUUGCGGUCGAUACGGGCAGGCUGGAGUUCGGUAGGGGAGACUGGAAUUCCUGGUGUAGCGGUGGAAUGCGCAGAUAUCAGGAGGAACACCGGUGGCGAAGGCGGGUCUCUGGGCCGAUACUGACACUGAGAAGCGAAAGCGUGGGGAGCGAACAGG